GCCGUCGUCGACCAGUGGAAGGUCAUCCUCGAAAUGUGAUUCCAGCUCAUUGUACAUCGGAGGGGAAGACGGGGGUUCGAUUCCCCUUGGCGGCU